rfam:Truepera radiovictrix DSM 17093, complete genome.
CGGUGAGAGGGACCUGAUCGCGGCUUGGCUGGGCAACUGGCUUUGCUGAGGAAAGUCCGGGCUCCGCAGGGCAGGGUGCCAGGUAACACCUGGGCGCGUAAGGCGACGGCAAGUGCAACAGAGAGCAGACCGCCCGGAUGGGGAGCACCCACGGAUCGGCGCGACGCGUGUCGCGAACGUGCUCACGUAGCGCGUCGAUGUCGGGAUGCUACCUUCCGGGUAAGGGUGAAACGGUGCGGUAAGAGCGCACCAGUGCCUUUGGUAACAAGGGCAGCUAGGUAAACCCCACCCGGUGCAAGGUCCGAUAGGGAGAAAGAGCUUGCCCGGCUCGUUAACAUCUCCGGGUUGACCGCUCGAGGCGUCUGGCGACAGACGUCCCAGAUAGAUGAUCAGGCGCCCGCAGCCAAGAUGUGAGGUUUUUUACAUCCUGGCUGCGCGGCCGACAGAACCCGGCUUAUCCCCUCUCCCGCACC